rnacentral:rRNA from 1 species
AGAGUUUGAUCAUGGCUCAGGACGAACGCUGGCGGCGUGCUUAACACAUGCAAGUCGAACGCUGAAGCCCGGAGCUUGCUCUGGGUGGAUGAGUGGCGAACGGGUGAGUAACACGUGAGUAACCUGCCCCUCACUCUGGGAUAAGCGCUGGAAACGGCGUCUAAUACUGGAUAUGCACCAUGGCCGCAUGGCCUGUGGUGGGAAAGAUUUAUCGGUUCGGGAUGGACUCGCGGCCUAUCAGCUAGAUGGUGAGGUAAUGGCUCACCAUGGCGACGACGGGUAGCCGGCCUGAGAGGGUGACCGGCCACACUGGGACUGAGACACGGCCCAGACUCCUACGGGAGGCAGCAGUGGGGAAUAUUGCACAAUGGGCGAAAGCCUGAUGCAGCGACGCCGCGUGAGGGAUGACGGCCUUCGGGUUGUAAACCUCUUUCAGUAGGGAAGAAGCGAAAGUGACGGUACCUGCAGAAGAAGCGCCGGCUAACUACGUGCCAGCAGCCGCGGUAAUA